rnacentral:rRNA from 1 species
ACCUGCGGAAGGAUCAUUACUGAAUAACU